rnacentral:rRNA from 1 species
GAGACAGCAGUCGCCACGGUAAUACGGAGGGUGCAAGCGUUAAUCGGAAUUACUGGGCGUAAAGCGCACGCAGGCGGUCUGACAAGUCAGAUGUGAAAUCCCCGGGCUUAACCUGGGAACUGCAUUUGAAACUGUCAGGCUGGAGUCUUGUAGAGGGGGGUGGAAUUCCAGGUGUAGCGGUGAAAUGCGUAGAGAUCUGGAGGAAUACCGGUGGCGAAGGCGGCCCCCUGGACAAAGACUGACGCUCAGGUGCGAAAGCGUGGGGAGCAAACAGGAUUAGAUACCCGAGUAGUCCCUGUCUCUUAUAC